AUUGAACGCUGGCGGCAGGCCUAACACAUGCAAGUCGAGCGGCAGCGGAAAGUAGCUUGCUACUUUGCCGGCGAGCGGCGGACGGGUGAGUAAUGUCUGGGAAACUGCCUGAUGGAGGGGGAUAACUACUGGAAACGGUAGCUAAUACCGCAUAACGUCGCAAGACCAAAGAGGGGGACCUGCGGGCCUCUUGCCAUCAGAUGUGCCCAGAUGGGAUUAGCUAGUAGGUGGGGUAACGGCUCACCUAGGCGACGAUCCCUAGCUGGUCUGAGAGGAUGACCAGCCACACUGGAACUGAGACACGGUCCAGGCUCCUACGGGAGGCAGCAGUGGGGAAUAUUGCACAAUGGGCGCAAGCCUGAUGCAGCCAUGCCGCGUGUAUGAAGAAGGCCUUCGGGUUGUAAAGUACUUUCAGCGGGGAGGAAGGUGUUGUGGUUAAUAACCACAGCAAUUGACGUUACCCGCAGAAGAAGCACCGGCUAACUCCGUGCCAGCCGCCGCGGUAA
rnacentral:rRNA from 1 species